UGGCGAUCUCUUAAAAUAAAGCCUAGCGUCAUAAUCCCUCCACGUUUUUUCAAAGAAAAACAUGCAUUUCAAGGCGCUAUGGAUUUCAAAGACCAUGGAUUUACUCAGAACUUAUGGGUUUUAAAAAAGGCUUUAAAAGGAAAUAACUAAAAAACUUUUCCAAUAAUUUAAGAUGAUACCGGGGAAGGUUUUCCGGUUUGUUCCGGAGGGCUUGUAGCUCAGUUGGUU
rnacentral:misc_RNA from 1 species